CCCUUAGAUGUUCUGGGCCGCACGCGCGCUACACUGACUGACUCAACGAGUUUACAACCUGUGCCGAAAGGUAUGGGUAAUCUUUUGAAAUUCAGUCGUGAUGGGGCUAGAUUAUUGCAACUAUUAAUCUUCAACGAGGAAUGCCUAGUAAGCGCGAAUCAUCAGUUCGCGUUGAUUACGUCCCUGCCCUUUGUACACACCGCCCGUCGCUCCUACCGAUUGAAUGGUCCGGUGAAUAAUUCGGACUGCGGCAUUGACCGGUUCCCGAUCGUUGCUGCGGAAAGUUUAGUGAACCUUAUCACUUAGAGGAAGGAGAAGUCGUAACA
rnacentral:rRNA from 1 species